rnacentral:rRNA from 1 species
CCUACGGGUGGCAGCAGGGAGGAAUAUUGGUCAAUGGGCGCGAGCCUGAACCAGCCAAGUAGCGUGAAGGAUGACUGCCCUACGGGGUGUAAACUUCGUGUAUAAAGGAAUAAAGUGAGGCACGUGUGCCUUUGUGUAUGUACUUUAUGAAUAAGGAUCGGCUAACUCCGUGCCAGCAGACGCGGUAAUACGGAGGAUCCGAGCGUUAUCCGGAUUUAUUGGGGUUAAAGGGAGCGUAGAUGGGUUGUUAAGUCAGUUGUGACAGUUUGCGGCUCACCCGUAAAAUUGCAUUUGAUACUGGCAGCCUUGAGUACAGUUGCGGUCGGCGGCAUUC